rnacentral:lncRNA from 1 species
AACUUGGGGCCAGGGGCAGGUGGAAAGAGGAGGAAGGAUCCUGCCCAACCUUAUAGGCCUGCAGCCUCCCUCCCAACAGGCCUUCUGGAGUCAGCAGGGGGGCAGAGGGGACUCUGGGCAGAGGGAGACAAACGAGAUUAAGGAUGCUUCCUGGCUUUGUAUCCUUUGCCAGUUCUCCUCCACCCAACCUCCUGGGAGGAACAAAUGGGACAUACACCCUGCCGCUUCUCCGCCCUUUACAUCUCCAGGGCCAGUAGUAGGGAGCGAGGGGGAGGAAGGGUCCGGCCCAGCGGCACUCCCUCAGCGUCUGCUCCCACGCCUGCUGGGAGUCAAGCAAGAAGGUCUGCCCCGGCCCCGGGCCUCCCUGCCUCUCUCCUGGCCAGAGAAGGGGAGCCGUGGGAAGAAGGACCCAACUCAGCCCCAGCCCCCAUCCAGCCGGAGGCCCUGCCCCUCACCCCCAGGAAGCUUCCAGGGCCUGUGAAGGAAGCUGGCAGGAAGAAGGUUUUCAAGAAGCCCGAGUUCUCAAUCAGACCCCCGGAGAGUCUCCAUCCUACAGGUGACCUGCCCAGCCAGAAGCAAAAUGCUCCUGAGGCCACUCAGAUGGCCCUGAGCCACCUGGGGCUUCAUGCCUGGCUGGGUCCCACCGGGCUGCUCCCCUUUAAGGGCUGAGAUUGGCACCUGGUGGCUGAGGAUGGCAAGCCCCUGCCUGCCUCCCGCAUCUACCUGGCCGGUCCAGCCUCAGCCCCCAUGUCUGAAAGCCCUGUUGGGAGACACCAAGAGACAGAGAUGCAGAGAGAAGCAAGGCAAAGAGGAAAGUGGGGCGGGCAGAGACCCCACGCUCCUAGAGGACCAGGAGGCAGAGGUGGAAAACAGGCAGGGAUGGGAGACACAGGGGGGACGUGGGCCUUCAGCAGAGAGGAGCACGUCCUCCUCCCAGCUCAUUCCCCCACCUGCUCCUGCACCCUGCUGGCCAGGUUGGUGCCUUCUCCUGCCUGCUGGCCCCUCUCCAGCCCCGACCUUGGCGCCUCUGCACCCCGCCCGGGGCAGGGCUCUGAUGACUGGGGCAGAACCCUGGGCUGGAGCCCACGGGUGCUUGGAAGCAGCCCUAGUGAGUUCCUGGCAGAGCUAGGCUGCAGGUGGUGGGGAAUGGGCCUCGGGCGGCCGGGGGCAGCCAGCUGUGUAAUGAGGCAGCACUCCACAUGCAGGCAGGAGGUGGGCAGGGCAGGGGCUCAGGUAAGCAGAGGGAGGGCCCAGCCCCGCCUGCCCCAGGUCCCCAGUCACGCUGCCCUGGAGUAUCCCAUGGGGGCUCAGGGCCCAGGAAACUCAGACGGAGCUGUGGGAGUCUUGGCAGGGGGCUGGGACCCACGAUAUAAC